UACGGAGGGUGCAAGCGUUGUUCGGAAUCAUUGGGCGUAAAGCGUGCGUAGGCGGGCGUGCAAGUCGGGUGUGAAAGCCCAGGGCUCAACCCUGGAAUUGCGCUCGAAACUGCUCGUCUUGAGUCCGGGAGAGGGUUGCGGAAUUACCGGUGUAGAGGUGAAAUUCGUAGAGAUCGGUAAGAACACCUGCGGCGAAGGCGGCAACCUGGAUCGAGACUGACGCUGAGGCACGAAAGCGUGGGGAGCAAACAGG
rnacentral:misc_RNA from 1 species